UACGGAAGGCAGCAGUGGGGAAUAUUGCACAAUGGGCGCAAGCCUGAUGCAGCCAUGCCGCGUGUAUGAAGAAGGCCUUCGGGUUGUAAAGUACUUUCAGUCGUGAGGAAGGUGUUAAGGUUAAUAACCUUAGCAAUUGACGUUAGCGACAGAAGAAGCACCGGCUAACUCCGUGCCAGCAGCCGCGGUAAUACGGAGGGUGCGAGCGUUAAUCGGAAUUACUGAGCGUAAAGGGCACGCAGGCGGUUAAUUAAGUUGGAUGUGAAAUCCCCGGGCUUAACCUGGGAAUGGCAUUCAAGACUGGUUAGCUAGAGUCUUGUAGAGGGGGUAGAAUUCCAUGUGUAGCGGUGAAAUGCGUAGAGAUGUGGAGGAAUACCGGUGGCGAAGGCGGCCCCUGGGACAAAGACUGACGCUCAUGUGCGAAAGCGUGGGGA
rnacentral:rRNA from 1 species